rnacentral:sRNA from 1 species
UUUCUGAUAUAAUCAAAACUGGAGAGAGAAGUUAGGGAGUUUAAUACUUCCGAUAAAGAUGGUGGCUACUUCUAUAUGAAAGGGGAUGGUGCUAUGCUCGCAUACACUAAAAUCUUGAAGAAAGGAGUAGAAAAUGUCUACAUACGAAGCUAUCCAACUAAUGGUAGAUUUUGCGAUUUUUGUAAUUGCACUCU